GCGGUGUCAGGCUCCGUCCCAGCUCUGAGUUGGUUCUGUCUGCUGCAGCCCACCUCCGGUUCGGACUAUAUCAGUGCCCUCGCCCUACAACUUCUGUUCUGGACUUUUUGAAGUAGUUCUUAGGAGAAGUGGAAGGAGAUUAGCUUUUAUCUCUUUUCAUCUUGCUUCAUAAUUCUCCUCUCCCACGUUUUUCUUAAACGGGAAACCUAGGCUGAGGAUUCCAUCAGCACUAGAAGAGUACUGAGAGGAGGGUCCCAGACACAAGAACCUCUUCCCCUUGACAAGAUUAAAAGACGAAGCACCAUGGGAAAGGUGGUUUUAUGGUUUCCACCCCUAGGCGCACCUGGAAGUCUCUGGGAAAGCCCACCCGAGAAGCUCGGUGGGGGCUGGGCGCCCUCCUCCUCCAUUCCCAGCCUGCAACCGCUUCUAAUUGAGGCUUGCCCUCAGGUAGCAGAGACGCGUCGCGUGAGCCUGGACAUCGGAGCCCGCGGAG
rnacentral:lncRNA from 1 species